rnacentral:lncRNA from 1 species
AUGCACAUUCAUCUUCCACCGCUUUCUCUCUCAUCUUGAUUUUUAGAAAAUACUGAUUCCAAUUUUAGGGUUAUUCUAUUCCAUUAUUGUUGAUUGCAUCUAUGGCGAUUUUAUUGUUGAGCCAUCAUCCAUGUUUUAUCUUCUUUCCAUCAGUCAUCAAAUGGGUUUUUAUUGUGAAGAGGUUUUGUUGAUGAGGAUGUUAGAUAGUCAAAGCCAUGGGAUUUCAAUCCUUUCUGAUCAAUGAUGUGUAAGCUGAGUAGAUUGGUGACGACGUGUAAGCCGUAGAUUGGUGGCGAUAGAAAUGAGAUACCAGCAGGCAAUGAUGAUUAAGGCAUUUUCAUUUGUUUACGGCCGUUUUGAAGCAUCUAAGAACUCCAACAAAUCCUUCUUUGGAUUAUCCAUCCGUAAAUUCUGAUUAUAUGAGCAAAAUUAAAAGGAUCAUUGGGUUGGUGAGUUGAAACCAAGUUAGAGUGCAUUUGCAGACAACCCAGAAGAGGUUGCAAAUUCUUAUAUGACUAUAUUAGAAAAGGCUAAAAGGGUUGUUCCACAAGAUAUGCACAAAAUACACGUGUUAAAGUUGGGGUUAUGUAUAGUUUUUCUUUUAGGAAAGAGUACGGGUAAUUGUAGCAAUAAUGGUGAUAGCAGUGGAGGUGUUGAAGCUUAGAAGCUGAACUAGAGAUAUACUUUCCUGAGAAUUUGGUGGAAAUUCGGGUGCGCCUAAUUCUUUUGAGCUUCACAUCUGAGUUACCUUUUAGCUCACUGACCCAGAUACAUGAUUACGUUGGCGUCAUUUGUUAACGGAGAUGAACUGGCAACAAUUAAGCUAACCACGGGAAGGUCGCCGCCGAUGAAUUUUCCACCCACCGGAUCAAAUGUAAACUUGCGUUCAGUAUUUUAGGUGAGAAUGUUUAUGUAAACCUGGUGUGCAUCUUCCUAAUGCAUGGACAAGCCUUCAAACAUGAGGUGGUCAAAGGUAGAGGCCAACCUCUUGCGGAAUUGUGGAAUGCCAUUGUUGAGAAGUUUCAAGGUAUAAAAAUGUUGACAGAAUUGUGAAUUACGGCUUGGUUGGAAUGUUCAUCCUAUUGGAAUUUUCCUCAAUGAGUUCUCUAUCACAUGUCCCUUAGGCGUUAGUGUCGGGUCGUUUAUUAAGAGUAAG